rnacentral:rRNA from 1 species
GCGAACGGACGAGAAGCUUGCUUCUCUGAUGUUAGCGGCAGACGGGUGAGUAACACGUGGAUAACCUACCUAUAAGACUGGGAUAACUUCGGGAAACCGGAGCUAAUACCGGAUAAUAUUUUGAACCGCAUGGUUCAAAAGUGAAAGACGGUCUUGCUGUCACUUAUAGAUGGAUCCGCGCUGCAUUAGCUAGUUGGUAAGGUAACGGCUUACCAAGGCAACGAUGCAUAGCCGACCUGAGAGGGUGAUCGGCCACACUGGAACUGAGACACGGUCCAGACUCCUACGGGAGGCAGCAGUAGGGAAUCUUCCGCAAUGGGCGAAAGCCUGACGGAGCAACGCCGCGUGAGUGAUGAAGGUCUUCGGAUCGUAAAACUCUGUUAUUAGGGAAGAACAUAUGUGUAAGUAACUGUACACAUCUUGACGGUACCUAAUCAGAAAGCCACGGCUAACUACGUGCCAGCAGCCGCGGUAAUACGUAGGUGGCAAGCGUUAUCCGGAAUUAUUGGGCGUAAAGCGCGCGUAGGCGGUUUUUUAAGUCUGAUGUGAAAGCCCACGGCUCAACCGUGGAGGGUCAUUGGAAACUGGAAAACUUGAGUGCAGAAGAGGAAAGUGGAAUUCCAUGUGUAGCGGUGAAAUGCGCAGAGAUAUGGAGGAACACCAGUGGCGAAGGCGACUUUCUGGUCUGUAACUGACGCUGAUGUGCGAAAGCGUGGGGAUCAAACAGGAUUAG